rnacentral:rRNA from 1 species
ACCUGCGGAAGGAUCAUUGUCGUGACCCUGACCAAAACAAACAGUGAACUUGUUACCCAUGCCGCCGGCUGAUGGGUGUCACACCAGUCUCUCGGAUCAGGGUGCCAACCUUCUUGAGAUGGGUGGCACCCUAAAAGAACCCACGGCGCCGUAUGGCGUCAAGGAGCACUGAUGCUGCCUUGCACAUGGGCGGACCGGCAUGCCGGUUCCACCCUUGUGCAACGAUUAUCUAUUAAACAACAUGACUCUCGGCAACGGAUAUCUCGGCUCUCGCAUCGAUGAAGAACGUAGCAAAAUGCGAUACCUGGUGUGAAUUGCAGAAUCCCGUGAACCAUCGAGUUUUUGAACGCAAGUUGCGCCCGAGGCCUUCUGGCUGAGGGCACGUCUGCCUGGGCGUCACGCCAAAAGACACUCCUCAACCAUCUAGGUUAACAUGAGGAAGUGGUUCUGGCUCCCCAUGCAUCAAUGCGUGGUGGGCCUAAGUGGGGGUUGCCGGCGGUGCCGACCACAGCACAAGGUGGAUGACGUAAGUUAUUCUUGGCGCUAUGAUUCGGACAGUAUUGGUGAUGCCCUGAGCACCCAAGUACCGAAGCGCUUGACGCUCGGACCGCGACCCCAGGUCAGUCGGGACUACCCGCCGAAUUUAAGCAUAUCAAUAAGCGG